UGAAACUAUAAAAUUCAAUAUUUUUUUAAAUACAAGAUAUUAUAUCAUCAAAUUACGAAUUAAGAACAAUCAUACUAUUAUAAAUUAAACUAAAUAUCCAAACAAAUUACGACUCAAUAUCCAAACAAAAUACAAUCCAAAUCUAAAAUUUCCUAUAAUUUAUACUUAGAUCAUGAUGCGUAGUUUUAUCAUCAAGCAAAUGAAUUAAUUUCGAAAUUCGUUUUGCCUCAACAAAAAAAAAAAAAAGAAUUUCAUUAACAUGUCACCAAAUUAAUUAAGAAGAAACUUGUAUAUAUAGUUUCCACUCCAAACUCAAGAAGUAGAUCACUUCUAACUAAUUGUUUUCCUC
rnacentral:lncRNA from 1 species